rnacentral:rRNA from 1 species
CAGUUCAGAUUGCAGGCUGCAACUCGCCUGCAUGAAGUCGGAAUUGCUAGUAAUCGCGGAUCAGCAUGCCGCGGUGAAUACGUUCCCGGGCCUUGUACACACCGCCCGUCACACCAUGAGAGUUGGCAAUACCCAACGUACGUGAUCUAACCCGCAAGGGAGGAAGCGUCCUAAGGUAGGGUCAGCGAUUGGGGUGAAGUCGUAACAAGGUAUC